ensembl:lncRNA
GGGAAAUUUAUCGUGUGCAAGAAAAAAAAGAAAAAGAAUAGCCUCUCAUAACCUUAAAAAAACCCAACAUGAAGCAUCUAUAUUGGGCAGAUUUAUGUUAGGGAAUGACGACACUUAGAAAGGAAGCACAUCAAAUGUCUUGCAGUUUGAGACUACUUCUAAACAUCAGUAGGUCAGCCACUUCACAGCUUUUUCAUGCCUUGGGCCUCAUGUUCACACCCACUUAUGGUGCCCCUUUGCUUCAGGGGCCCCAGAAUCUCUCACUUCUAUCUUGAGGUUCAACCUGGAGGGAUCCUACUGGCCCCAGAUGUCAAAGCACUCGAGUAGUGCCGUCGCUUGAACUUGAGUUGCUCAUGUGCUGUGAUGAAUUCGGGCUCUGGCCAAGAAAGAGGAACGGCUUUGAGAAAUGUGAAAAGGGCAGCAGAUGCAAAACCUGGCAUCAGAGGACGCCUAAUGCUGACUGAGGGAUGACAGGCUUUGAAACCAAAAGGAGGAGACUUAGGGCAGAUGCUGCACAGAUGGGAGAAUCCAAGAAGAGCUGCCUGGGGAGGAGAGGAUGUGAUCAAAGCAGUGCUCACGCUGGAUGGACAUCAGUGGAAAGAGGAGUGGAGUCAGCCCUGCAACUGUCUUGUCCAGCUUUUUCCCUGUACACAACACAAGUGACAACGGUUUGGCAACCAGUCUGGGAUAUUUUUUAUCUGCUUUCUUCUCUCUCCUUUCUGGACUUCAAUAUGUAUUUUGAAUUUUUGCUGCAAAAUGCAGAAAGUAAAUAAAGAGACAACUUAGACGGGCAAUGGACAGACCUAACAGAAGAUGGAGAAGAGAAACUGUAACAAAUAAACCUAAAUAAAGAGUCAAACUCUUAAUAAAUUAUGUCUGACCACCAGACAGCUAUAGCAAAACAGCCAAAUGAGCUGCCAUGCCCUGAUGCUGAUAGUCUGGAUAAAAUAUUAAAACAAGUCUGGACCAAAGAGAACCUCUCAGCAAUGGUAGAGCAGUUUGCUUUCUAGCCGAGGUAAAAAUAACAUGUAAUCAUUUAAUACAAUUUCUUCAAAUAAACUUUAUUUGGAGAUAAUGGCUUCCAGAUGGGUGAAGGUUUAUAAACAUCUCUGCCACAAGAUAAAUUCCCACUGGGUAACGGAUGGGAUAAGGGAGUGAGUCAGUCACUGGGUCUGACUGGGAGGUUAGACGUGGGCUCUAGCCCCAAAGCUGAGCAGCAAGAAGGGACUUCUGUCCAUCCAGUUGUUCCUUCUUGCUGUCCAAAACAACGUCGCCUGUUGGGACUCAUAGAAACAUAGAAUGGUUUGAGAUGGGAGGGACCCUUAAAGGCCAUCUGGUCCCACUCCCUGCAGCACACAGGGACACCCACAGCUCCAUCAGUGUUCAGAGCCCCAUCCAGCCAGACCUUGAAUGGAGAAUCCACCACUUCUCUGGGCAACCUGUGCCUGUGCCUUGCCACCCUUGUCGUAAAAAAACCUUUCUCCUUAUAUCCAGCCUAAAUUUCCCCUCUUUUGGUUGGAAACCAUUUCGCCUUGUCCUGUCACAACACACCCAGAUGGUCGCUGCCUUGUGCUACGACCUCCUGAGCUGUGCCUGGGAGGUGUCCAUGAAACGGUCCACUGGUCCAGUCCAAAAUGGAGCCAAAAACAUCCUAAAAAUGAAACCCUUUGGGCGGAGAGCUCUCAUGCUUUGGAACGAUUCCAGCACAGAUACAUUCUACGAGUGACUUUACAGAAGAAUCCACAACCCUUUCUGUAUCAACCGAUACCCUCCUUGAAGCUAUUUUGGAAGCACAUCCAAGCCUUCAGGGCUACAUUAUCACGUCCAGCUUUGCAAAUAUGUAAGCUCACAUAAAGCACCAUCACGGGUGUUUCACACUCAAAGUAAGAACCUGUUCAAGAUGUCCGUGCAGUUUCUCAAUGAAUAGCCCAGCACCUUUUUGGAUGAAAUACUCGCCUGGAUCUCCUUGGAGCCAACGCUGCUAGUCAGGCUGUCAGUGUCACACAUGUAUUUAAUUGCUUUGCUGGGCUGAGGCCCUGCAGAAUCAGCGCGAAGAAUGCGAAGGGAACAACGGCACUUCGCGCUUAAUGUGGGGGGAUUUUGAGUGUUAUUAAUUAUUUUUCGUUUUGCUGGUUAGCAUGGAGAGACAGAGGGCUGAAACACAUCCAGGCAGAAAUCAGCCACAGUUAUUAGUGCCUCAAGUCUUUGUCUUGUAGGCUUCAAGCUGGUUAAAACAACAGAAAAGGGAAAAAGAAAAGCAAGACAUUUUUCAGAUGGAGGCCCCCAAGAAAUGCUGGUUUUGAUGGUGCCUCUUGCUGGGGAUUGAGCGCACCAGGCCAUCGUCUCUGCGUGCCUCAGGUGGUAGAAAUACACUGGCUGCUCUGAAGUCACCUGGGAGAAAGCAAAGAAGAGGAAUAGCUCGCUAUCUCCCUGUGAUGGAUUACUAACCCAUCCCUGGGAUAUUCCGGAGAGAACAGACAUGCAGCCCAUGCUGAGGAUGAAUUACUGGAUCCAAUUAUAACGGGAGGAAUUAAAAAAAGGAGAACCCCUCCGGAUAAUCAGCACCAGCUGCCCCACACAGGGUACCCUAUCCUCCAGGCAAGCCACAGCUGUGAUUCAUGCCACGUCCCAUGUUGUUGCCUGCCCUUAGAGCCUACACAAUAUGACGUGUUCUGCCUCAGUACGUGCAUAAUUCUUCCUUACGCGUGAG